UCAGUUGCAUUAAUAAUAAUACAAAAAUAUAUUUCUAGGCUCUUGACAAUGAUUUUGAAACGAAAAUAAACGAAAAUAAACGAUCUUAAAGUAUUAAAAAAAAAAAAGAAAAAAGAAAAGAAAAAGAAGGAGAAAAGAAAAGGGCGACGAAAAAGAAUUGAGAACAGACAUCAAAGCAGACAUUUAUCGGAUGCAAAAGUCGCUAUCAAGGUCGAACAUUUACAUGUCUAUACCUGAGAACACCGAAUUAUGUAUCAGAUGCAGUAGAAUGUCUCAACGUUUCAAUUUUUCCCUCGACAUCACAUAGGAAAAUUAAAUUUUUGAAAAAUUAUAUUUUUUCCUUAAUAAGUGGAUAAUUGAAAAAAAAAAAAAAGAAGAAGAAGAAGAAAUUGUAUCUUGCAUUAAUACUUCUUUUCUUCGAUCUUAUUUUUUAACCUAGUUUUUACAUCUAGCCGAGCGUAUCACAUCGAUAGCAGUACUUGUGCACCCAUUCCAGUGUGAAUUGAACAGUGUCGCUGUUACCAUCGGCAAGUCGAACAAUAAAGUUUAGUGCUCGGUGCGCUAUUUGAACUUUACGCAAAAUUACUUACGAUUGUUAACAGUUGUAAUUAGUGGAAUUACGUGUUACAUUCGUUGGAGGAAGAUUUAUCGGUAAUACGAGCGAUAAUUUCGCUUAACAUCCGCUGCGAUGAAUCGAAUUAAAGUGGGAUUUUCUUAUCUUAGUUCAUUCUAAACUUGUGUGCGCGAUAUUACGAGAAGGCUGAUAGAAAAUCGAGAUUAUGCGUGGCAUUGAUAUUAUUUCUGAGAGUUGUAUAAAUGUAUAAAUAUACGUGUUUGUACGUAUAUAUAUAAUUCAUAUGGUUCGUACGAGAGGUGACAUUAAUCUUAGCAAGUUUUAAUAAGAAAUAGAAUCUGAAUAAAAGAGAGAAAGAAACUUUCCAAUAUAUCUACUGAUACUGCUAGAUGGCAACGAAAAGGGUUGCUUAAGAGGGUGCAAUCGUAGGGAAACCGAGGACAAGACAAAUAUUUACAAAGAGUUUCCGUUCUUUCUUUCUUCUCUUUUCAAAGGUAUAAAGGAUAGUUUCAAAAUUAUUAUUAUUACUUUUAUUCAAUUUUUUACAAACAUUUCCAUUAUUAAAUCAAUUAUCCAAAUAUUAAAUUUCAGGAGCGAAUUAAAAAUUUAGAAAAAUUAUUGCUAACAAAAGGAAAUCCUAAAUUCGUCGUUCAUCAAUAAUAAAUAAUGAAAUUGAAUUUUUAUAGAAGAGCAGAAAUUGCGAGAUAAAUUAGAAAUAUUUAUUUUAGGAUUAAAACAAAUUUUACACAAUUUAAUAAUAUAAAUAUAUUUAAAAUCGAAUCAAUAUUGAACUCAUAGUUAAACUUUUAAACAAGAAAUAAACGGAUUGAUGAAUAAUACUUGAAAAUAAUAUGAAUGAUAUAUUUGCAUUAUCAACAAGCUUAAUGAUUCAUAUUGAAAGUGAUCACCGAUCAUUCAACAAUUUCAAUUUAUUUUAUCGUGCAUAUAUUCCCUUCAUUAUUCUUCUUUUGUGACAAGAAACCAUUCCUUUCAACCUUCCUUAUCGAGAAACUUAUUUCACAAACUCUCCAUUCCUCAUUAAGUAUUCAAUUAAAAACAUCUUAUAUCCUAUCAUUCCUAAAUCCAUUAACAAUUACAAUUACAGUUAAUGAUAAUGAUUCUAUUUUAAACUGUUGAACUGCUUAACUUCUUACUCCUCAGAGCAAGCACAGUUUUUACAUUUUUAUUAGACAAUUUUAUUUAUAUUCUCAAAAUUUCGUUCUCAAGAAACUUGAGAAUAUUUACAUUGAAACCUUCCCAUCAAAGUUAUACAAACUUUUCAAUCAAACAUCCGUUUAAGGAAUUUUAUUAAGCGAUAAUUAAAAAAAAAUGAUUCAGAAGAAUUUUCUAAGAGGAAAACAAUUUCAAUUCUCAUUACUUACGUUAUUAUUCAAUACGAAAUUAGAAAAUUAGAAUUGAAGAAAGAAAACGUAAUGAUUAGAAGCGAAACGAAAGUUUCCAGGGGCACUCGGUUCUAUUCCGUGUUUAUCCUAGCGGGAAGCCAGCCACUAGCUUGGCUAUCGUGUGAAUCGCGAUAAGGGUUAUCGUCGGCCUGGCAGAUCAAAUAUUUAGCCGCAGAGAACGCGUAGGGUGGUCUCGCGUUAUUAACUGGAGGAUCGGUUAGGAACGAGGCCAUUCUAUCGGUGGAUUAUCGGUCGAUCGAUUCUCAACGCACCUCCGUUCCUAUCGUUCCUGUUUUUUCCCCCCUCACGUUUCAAUUUCGUGUCAGUAUGUCAUCACGCGUAUGCAUGUGUGCAAUCCUUCUUUUUUUCUCCUCGUUUCAUCAAUUUUCAAGGUUUCUCCCUGCACUUGUGUUUGAAAUUAUCACGGAUUAAUUUGUACCGCAAGGAAUUGGACUGAUUACAUUUACGAUGUUGAGAAAUGUAAAAAACGAAGGAGAAUCAAAAAGUUAAAAGGAAAAGAAAUGGAAAAGCAACGAAGCUUUAAGAGAACCGAGAGGAAUCCGGAAAAAGGUCUCUCUGAAAAAGCUGUUAUUUCCCAUUCAUUUUACACUCGCACGCGCGCACACGUCUCUGGUACAAGAGGAAAGCGAGAAAAAAGGGGGGAAAAGGAAAAAAAAAAAAAGAAAGAAAUAAAUGGAAAAGCGUGAGAGUGAAAUGGGAGCGUGGCACGAAAGAAAGCGCCAUUAAAGCGCGUGGAACCGGGUUAAAAAGGUCGUCGACCGCAGCGCCGCCGCGAGGAAAAGAGAGAUAGAAAGGAAAAUCGCUACUUUCCACAAUUAACGAUCUCUUCUCUCAACAGCUCCUUUUUCUCUUUAAUUAUGUACCUUUGUGUUGUACGCCGUUCCUUUGAAAGCUGUCGUUUUUCAAUUUCAACAAGAUAAGUAAAUUAAAAUUGAUAUUUUCUUAUAUUAGAAUUAAUAUUAAUUUUUCUUUUUUUCUUUUUUACAGGUGAAAAGGAUCGUCGAUGAUGAAAUUAAUUUUAUUUUCGCGUUGAACGAGGUUUUCGAUUAUUUGAUUCUAACGAACGAUUGUAUAAUAUGGAAGUAGAGAUCUUUGAUAAGUAUAAAUAUUCUUUUUAUAGAUUCCUUUAUAGAUAAAAUGACCCACAUCGAUGAUGUGAGUUAAAUUAUGUUUAUUAUUAUUAUGUAAAGGAAAAGACUCGUAACAAAAGUUUAAGCUUUGCUUUUGGAAUGUUAAUUUUAUUAGGCUAACAAUGCGAAAGAAAUGUACUUCAAUGAGAAUAGUAAUUUUUUGAUCCUACUUGUUCGAUUUAAUACAAAUACAGUGAAAAUUCUUUAUAAACCAUAAUUAAAAAAUAUGAUAAUACAAAAUCGUAUAAUAAACGAUUAAACGAACAGGAUGAAUUAUACGUAAAAUAACUCAUUGAUAACUAAUUGAAUCAGAAGCAGAUGUACCAAUCCUCGAAAGCAAUUAAGAUCUUUCGAUAAAAAUCCAGGAUUUUGUCGAAACCACGUCUUUUCUCGAUCAGAAUGUCAACGAUCGCGGUUAUCGUCGAGCAACGACACGUCCACGAGAGUGAAAGCAAAAAAAAAAAAAAAAAGGAAAAAGGAAAAAAGAGUGAAAACGCUUGGCUACAUUCUAUUCAACGCGUGCUUUCGAUCACGCGAAUGGCACGUUGUCGAAAGUUUUUUGGCACGAUGGUCGCAAAAGCCACGAUUACGAUAGCAAAAAAGAAAAAAAUGAAAAAGAAAAAUUCAAAUACAACGCAUGCAACGACAAAGUAGAAGUAUAAAAAAAUAAAUCAAAUAAAAGAAGAAGAGAUAAAGCGUUUCGAUCCCUUCAACGACGAGUUAAGAAUUAACGAAUUAUUUUUCGAAUGUUCCUUCAACUCGAUCGAUAAGCAAGAUUCCAUCGUACCACAAGAUAUGCCCUCACUUGCAAUAACCAAAAAACGGUUAACGAUUUCUAUACAUCAAACUAUUACACGAAGCGAAUCGCACGCACGCACACGCAUACACACACGGAUCGGAAGGGUCUUCCUCGAUUCGAAUUGGCGGGCUGCACCUUGACGGCCAAGAGUCGAUUACUCACGAUCCCGUUAAAACCCGUUGAUAUCAGCCACGGAGUGGCCCCGACUAGUCUGAAUCAGCGACCCACUUACCUCGAACCACCUCUUUACGUAAGAAUUUCUCACGUUUCCCGCGCGUACUCCCGUGCCGCUCGCAAGUUUCGCGUGUCAUUACGGGUAAACGCCUUCUUCCUCUCGCCUUUCCGCCAUCCACCUCGAUCUCCACGCCCGUCCCCGCUGACCACAGACCGGUCGUCGACCUUUCGUGCUCUUCCCGUUCGUUUACCGCACCGAGGAAUUCUCGUUGCUUCUCCUUCCCCUUCCCCUUUCUUUCCCCCCCUCUUUUUCCUAUCUUUAUCUCGCUUUUGGUACGUGUCAUCGGCUCCGCCGCGGCUUUUCUCAAGAUAGUUUGUGUAAAGGGUGUAAUUAGCGAGGGUCGUAUCAUUCGGUGUUUUAGGAUGUGUUUUUCUCCCCUUUCUUUUUCUCCUCCGUUUCUUAUCUUUCCUUCGAAAAGUUUUGUAUACUUUUAAAACAGCUUGGACGUAAAUUAGAGUAAUUAGAGCGAGAGUUUGGAUGUUAUAUUCCCUUUUCCGACACUUUUCAUCCUUCCUCUUCCUCGAAUUUGGCAGAGAUUAACAAUUUCCCUCUUUCGAUUCCCCAUUCAAUGGAAUCGUUACUUAGCUGAUUAAUUAAACUUUUCAAAACUGAUUUUCUAAAUAUUCAAGUUUCGAGUGACCGGAAAUAAAAUCGAUUAACAGAAAAUAACGCGACAAAAGGGGGGAAGGGAGGGAGUCCAAUGUCAAAAUCGGGAAAGAAGAAUUAAAAAUAGAAUGGAAUGGAAUAGAGAGAAUAGGAAGGGGGAGAGGGAAAGAAAGGCAAAGGGGAGUGGAACGAGGCGAUCGAUGGAACGAGUUCCCCGGCGGCGAGGCCGCCGCUUUCCAGACAAUCGGAGUCACCUUUGCCAGGUCGUCGAACCGGAGGGAUUUCCUUCGCGCCACGGUGACGAGGUGACCAUACGGUAUUUCCUUCUGCUCGGCCAGCAGCAGCAGCGCGGGAGUGCGGUCGUGGCCAUUGUCGGGGAGAGGAGAGGGAUGACGAGGAAGAAACGCGGAGAGAAAAGAGUGAACGAAGCGAUAGCGGAGCGGGAGGAGGAGGGGGGAAGAGGAUCGAAGCCUCGCGGUGGAGAGAGAGAGAGGAGGGCGGCGAAGGAGAGGGAGAUGGAGGGAGGAGAGGGCAGGAGGAAAGAGGAAGAAGGCAGGUGGAGGAAGAGAAGAGCGUAACUGUACUCUAUCUAUCCCUGGGGCCUGCCAGCUCUUUUCAGGGUUCACGAACCCCGGUUGACCGGGCCGAAUUCGAAGGUCGUUGCUCCAGUUUCUCCGGAUACGAGCCGGGAAUUCCAGAAAUGACAUAAUUAUCGAGCACAGCCGAUCGUCGAGGUUGCACCAAGUGCUAUUUAUUCGCUGUACUCGGGAAACACUUUUAGUCGUUGGAUCGAUGGGAUUUUAUUCUCUCUUUAUUUCGAUUCGCUUUGGACACAGCGACGUGUCUGAUAGGACGAGGAGACGGUUCGUUGAACCUUGCUUGUUUGCUUGCUUGCUUGCUCCCGAAGCUUACGGAUUUUUAUUCUUUUAUUUCCGAGAGGAAUUUCGAUGGCGAGAGGAAUAUGAGUUUUUGAAUUGGGAAUUUUUUGAUGGCUCGUUUUGAAGUUUUCAGAUUUUUUUUUUUAUUUUUCUCUUUAUAAUUCUGAUGGUGAGAUUUACCGUUGAUUUUGAUAUUUUUGGUAUCUUAUAAAGUAACUUUUUUCGGAAAAAAAAGAAAAGGAUAAUUGAGUGGAUAAAAAUAGAAUCGUAAGAAAGUAAAGACCCCGUUAGUAGAGAGAACUCUUGCCUUCGUUCUUGCGUGGAAAGGAAUAAUUUCGUGCCUGGUGGUAUUCAUAUUCGUAACAUCAAUAUCGCGGAAUCGAUACUAAAUCGUUUUUUAAGUCGCAUAUACCGGUUUUCGCGAGAAUCUGCAUUGUCAUAGAUUCCCUUCCAAGAAGCCGACUGAACACCGACGCAUUUUCUGAAAAUAAACGCAAUCAAACUCGUUUCUCGCUCGUUCUUAUCACGCCUAUAUAAUCAGUUGGCAAUUAUUGACGUUGAAUAACUUUAAUUCGUAUUCCACACCUUACGCAACGUAUAUAUUUCCAAUAUGUAAAAUGUAAGAACAUAAAUUAAAAUCUAUUUAAUCCUUCCAUUUAUCCACAUCUAUCCAAUCCAUAUUUUCAAAUUAAUGUAACUGUGUAAUCAAGCUGAUGUGCACGAUUAAAUUUAAGAACAGGAUCAAAUUUUCUAAAAAUUCCUUCGUUCUUUACUUUAUUACAGCAAUAAUUUUACAGAGAUAGAUCUUUCGUUAGAAUUGAAAGAAUACUCAACGCUCGCAAGUGACACGUAAGUUUCCUGAAUAUAAUACAAAAGAAACAUAUAUUAAUUUUUAUUUGGAAAAUAUAAAGAAUAUCAAUCUCUGAUCGUACAAUCUCGAUACAGUGAACUUUAAUCAAGAAAAAACAUUCUAAAAAAAAAAAAAAACUCUUACAACGUUACAAACUUAACUUCAUUAUUGUCGAGAUUACGAGGGCACAAAAAAAGAAAAAAGAAAUAAAAAAAUAGAAACGAAAUAUCGGAAGCGUUGUUGGAUAAUAUCGGGCCACGUUAUCAACGAUACGCGACAAUGGAGAUUAUGGGUUCGCGUGGGGUUCAGUGAACGGCAUCUGGGUCAGAUUUUAUCUGGGAGUGGAACGAGAUCGAGGGGGGAAGAAAAACGAUACGAAUUUUCGAGGCAUCGUGGAAGCGCUCGUGAGCGAUUACUGUUAGAUCAAGGACGAUGGUCGGCCAUCGAGGGAGAAAAAUGUGUCUUCGAGAGGGACCUCGUGCGCGCCUCGUGUCCACCUCGCUUUGUUCGCGAAUCGUUCGUGACCGGCAUCGUGAUGGCCCGGUAAUUGUCGAAAAGAUCGUGCUACGCUUGGCUAAUUGAUAUAAUUGUACAAUUGAAUAAUGAUAUAUUUUUAUCUUUCAUUUUCGAUUGCAUUCGUGCGUUUCGUAUCUACGUUGUUAUUAUCAUAACGAUGUUGGAUAUCAUCUUAAACGAUAUCAAUGAUAAUUGAAUCGAGGCAGACACAAUUAUACAGUAAAAAUAACGAUAAUUCGAUGAUUCAUUUUCACACCUUCCCUCUAUGAACCUAUAACCAUUCUUUCUUUUAAUAAAACUCCAUAAAAAUCAACCCUUAAACGUUAUCUGUACAAACUUACUCGCACCACUCUAUACCCAAACUUUUCUUGCAAAAAUAAUAGAUAAUUUUCCCUUUGGGCAAAGAGUUGUAUUACUUUUCACCGAUUUUGCAUUAUGGAAAACGAUAAAAUCUCGUUGAAAAAAGUUUUGGUUAUUGUCUUCGAUCGGACAGCUGACUCGGGGUUUCUUCCAUUCGGAAGGAGCGGCCAAGUGAACCGCGAAGGGUUCGAAAUCACCGUCGCGCGGACGUUCACCCGGCGUUCUUGAACUUUCAGGGUCGCUUGACUCGCCUCCUCAGCGCCCUCCGCCCGAUCCCAUGGCCCCUCUUAUCGUUUUAGCGAAACGCCCGAUAGAAUUACGCCCCCGGCGCACUAUCUCCGCGCCGCCGCUUUAAUUAUCGCCGCACGGCUCGUACAAUUAUGUGGCCAGGCGAAGAUAAAAGUCUGCUCCCUGCUCGGGCGGGGAACGUUUCAACGAUCGACCGAUAUUGAUUUUUUCAAUUUUUAGGUGUUGUUGUUGCGCUUAACUACGCGAAGAGGGCAAAGUGAAGAGAGAUUUAUGUUUUCUUGGUUUAUUAGCUCUUCGUUUGGGGGGGAGCGGAGAUGUAAUAAAUGGGUCACGUGGUGGUUAAGAUUAUGGAAUAGUACGAAGAAAAUGGGAUUCGAGUUUUUAAGAGAUUAGCAAGAUAUUCGAUUCGAGAUUGUGCGAGACAUUUUUAAUCGGAUCGAUUAUAAAUGUUUCAUCAAAAAUUCACGGCCCUUCUAUUCUUGCUCAACUAUUUCGAUAAGAAGUUAGACAGACUAGAUAUCUAUUAAUUAUUCCUAUCCUUGUGUCAUGAAACUUUACUAUUCUUAAGCUUGGUACGAAAUUAUAAAUCAUUGGAUGCAAUAGAUUGAAAAUAAUUAUUUUAUAACUUUCAAGAUAUUAUUUUUAAUGAUAUUAUCGUAUUCUGUUCUUUCUGUUGGAUCCAUUUUGAUUCGAUUCAGUUUUUCGAUAAUUUAAAUUUUUUAAAGAAAUUUACUAUGUCGCUAUUCUUUGGAGUUUUUAGAAUAUUUUCAGUUGGAGAAAAAUCGAAGAAGAAAAGAAACCUGAAGAGUGAUACGUCUCACCUUCGACACUCGCAUUUACCCACUCGCUCUUCAUUCACGAGCAUAAAUAAAGGAGAGCGUUGAACCCAGCUCACAAAGUGUCAGAAAAGUGGCCAAGCCUCAGCCCAUUUGCAUUUCACGUUCAAAUGUGUCAGAGUCCGUUGAAGAACUCGAAUUCGAAUAAAAUCUUUUGAAGUAAAAAAAAAAAGGAAAUGUAAUAUUACAUGGAUAAUUGGAUGGAAAUAAAUUAUAUCGAUUGUCCCAUUUGAAAAAUUUAUUUUAUUAUCAUAUUUUUCAAUGUUAAUUAUUUCCAGAUUAAGAGAAUAAUAUUUAUUAAAAAUUUUCAGCAAAUUAAUUUCAGCCUGAGUGAAAUUUUUUUAGAAAAUAUAUACACUCCUUGUGAAUUAUUUGAUUUAUAAAUUAUAUAAUAUUAAUCGUCAAAAAUAUUUAUUCGAAAUUUUUCUAAUCUAAUCUUUGAAAUGUUUAAGCCUCGAUGCCUGACCGACUUCAUGACCAUAUCAAGGACACUGUAACUUGAUGUAUUAUGGGAUGAUUGUCUGAAGCGUAAUUAGCACGGUUGAACAUCGUUUCCUGAAGAGAGGGUCCUAUAUUCGUUUCAUUUGGAAAGGUUACGUCGGUUAAGGAUGACGUAAUGAUGAUGAAUUGGAAUGAUACCAGGAAGAUGUGAUCAAGGCAGAGAAUUGGGAGCAUCGAGGAAGGAAGCGAAAUGUUAUGGAAAUAUUAAUGAGAAUAUUGAAUCAUUCUUCUUUUGAAGAAGAUUGUUCAAAAUGUAUUGAUUCAAAUGAAGAAUGGAAAAUUGAAAAAAAAUUAUAACUUCCAUGUAAUUUUUAUUUGUAAUUCUUUUCCUGUUAAAAGUAAAAUUAAUUAAUUUAUUAUACUUAA